rnacentral:lncRNA from 1 species
UAUUUAAAAUAUGUAGGAAUAUUUAAUUUUAAAUUAAUUAAAAUAAAAAUAAGUAAUAACAUGUUAAAGAAAAAAAAAUCAGUAAAACCAAAUUUAUUCUCUUUUCCAUCAGAGUUACUUUCAGAAAUAAAUGGAGAGAAUACCAAUUCUCUUUCUCUCAUUCAUCGACCUCUCACUCAGUUAGCAUACAAAUGCAAGUAAACGCAACAACUAUUUAACACCACACCAAAAAUGAUUCACAUAAAUCAAAUUGAAAGGAUAGCUUCAUACCAUGUGGGAGUAAAUCGACGGCAAAGCUUUAAUCCACGGCGGUGACUUGUGGUGAUUUCGUUUGCGUUGACAAUCAGCAUGUUGCGUUUGGUGGAUCUUAGAGGCUUCAGCAGCGUGUGGUUGUGUGCACGGAACAGCCGCGACGUGGCUCUUAUGUUUCGGUCUCGUCGGCAAUGAAUUUGAUGGUGUUAACUUCAAUUUCUUCUCCUCUUUUGAUUUCCUUGUUAUCAUUAUUUGUGUGCUCCAAGGGAAGAUAAUAGUUUAACAAAUUGAGUUUAAUUUUUCCAGGGUGAUUCAAUGUUAUUAAUGUAGUGUUGUUAGCACUGAUGACAAAAACUCAUGGGAUUUUUGUGUUGUGAAUGUUUCUCUUUUCUCUGUCAAAAUCCAUCCCCUUUCUCUUCUUAUAGAUCCUUCUUUUAUAGUAAAAACAUCAAAUUUGAAAAUUCAAUUUAGUUGAUUUCAAAUUGAUCUUCUAUGUGAUUUGAUUCCUUGCCAAUUUAGAAUUGAUUUAGUAUUAUUAUGAUUGAUGAAGAUUUGAUAUUUGGAUGACCUUGGUUUUUUCCAUUUGCUCUGCAAUUUGAUGGAGAUACAUUUGAAAUAGGGGUGAC